rnacentral:rRNA from 1 species
UGGGGAAUUUUGGACAAUGGGCGAAAGCCUGAUCCAGCAAUGCCGCGUGUGUGAAGAAGGCCUUCGGGUUGUAAAGCACUUUUGUCCGGAAAGAAAUCCUUGGCUCUAAUACAGUCGGGGGAUGACGGUACCGGAAGAAUAAGCACCGGCUAACUACGUGCCAGCAGCCGCGGUAAUACGUAGGGUGCAAGCGUUAAUCGGAAUUACUGGGCGUAAGGCGUGCGCAGGCGGUUUGCUAAGACCGAUGUGAAAUCCCCGGGCUCAACCUGGGAACUGCAUUGGUGACUGGCAGGCUAGAGUAUGGCAGAGGGGGGUAGAAUUCCACGUGUAGCAGUGAAAUGCGUAGAGAUGUGGAGGAAUACCGAUGGCGAAGGCAGCCCCCUGGGCCAAUACUGACGCUCAUGCACGAAAGCGUGGGGAGCAAACAGGAUUAGAUACCCUGGUAGUCCACGCCCUAAACGAUGUCAACUAGUUGUUGGGGAUUCAUUUCCUUAGUAACGUAGCUAACGCGUGAAGUUGACCGCCUGGGGAGUACGGUCGC